rnacentral:rRNA from 1 species
UAGGGAAUCUUCGGCAAUGGACGAAAGUCUGACCGAGCAACGCCGCGUGAGUGAAGAAGGUUUUCGGAUCGUAAAACUCUGUUGUUAGAGAAGAACAAGGACGUUAGUAACUGAACGUCCCCUGACGGUAUCUAACCAGAAAGCCACGGCUAACUACGUGCCAGCAGCCGCGGUAAUACGUAGGUGGCAAGCGUUGUCCGGAUUUAUUGGGCGUAAAGCGAGCGCAGGCGGUUUCUUAAGUCUGAUGUGAAAGCCCCCGGCGCAACCGGGGAGGGUCAUUGGAAACUGGGAGACUUGAGUGCAGAAGAGGGGAGUGGAAUUCCAUGUGUAGCGGUGAAAUGCGUAGAUAUAUGGAGGAACACCAGUGGCGAAGGCGGCUCUCUGGUCUGUAACUGACGCUGAGGCUCGAAAGCGUGGGGAGCAAACAGG